GACGAACGCUGGCGGCGUGCCUAACACAUGCAAGUCGAACGGAAAGGCCCUGCGUUUGUGGGGUGCUCGCGAGGCGAAGGGGUGAGUGACACGUGAGUAACCUCCCCUUGACUUUGGGAGAACUUCAGGAAACUGGGGCUCAUACCCGAUAGGAUCUCCUGCUGCACGGUGGGGGUUGGAAAGUUUGGGCGGUUGGGGAUCGACGGGCGGCUUAUCAGCUAGGUGGUGGGGUAGUGGCGUACCAAGGCUGUGACGGGGAGGCGGCCUGGGAGGGUGACCGGCCACCUUGGGACUGAGAGACGGCCCAGACUCCUACGGGAGGCAGAAGGGGGGAAGAUUGCACAAUGGGCGGGAGCCAGAUGCAGCAACGCCGGGUGCGGGAGGACCGGCUUCGGGUGGUAAACAGCUUUCGCCUGGGACGAAGCGGGAGUGACGGUACCGGGUAAAGAAGCCCCGGCUAACUACGUG
rnacentral:rRNA from 1 species